UACGGAGGGUGCGAGCGUUGUCCGGAAUCACUGGGCGUAAAGGGCGCGUAGGCGGCAGGCCAAGCGUGCGGUGAAAGUCCGGGGCUCAACCCCGGAUCUGCCGUGCGGACUGGUUUGCUAGAGCACUGUAGAGGCGAGUGGAAUUCCUGGUGGUAGCGGUGGAAUGCGCAGAGUAUCAGGAGGAACACCGAUAGCGAAGGCAGCUCGCUGGGACGGUACUGACGCUAAGGCGCGAAAGCGUGGGAGC
rnacentral:rRNA from 1 species